CCUACGGGCGGCAGCAGUGGGGGAUAUUGCACAAUGGGGGGAACCCUGAUGCAGCGACGCCGCGUGGGUGAAGAAGCGCCUCGGCGUGUAAAGCCCUGUCAGCAGGGAAGAAAAUGACGGUACCUGAAGAAGAAGCCCCGGAUAACUACGUGCCAGCAGCCGCGGUAAUACGUCGGGGGCAAGCGUUAUCCGGAUUUACUGGGUGUUAAGGGGGCGCAGACGGCGAUGCAAGCCAGGAGUGAAAGCCCGGGGCCCAACCCCGGGACUGCUCGUGGAACUGCGUGGCUGGAGUGCAGGAGGGGCAGGCGGAAUUCCUGGUGUAGCGGUGAAAUGCGUAGAUAUCAGGAGGAACACCGGUGGCGAAGGCGGCCUGCUGGACUGCAACUGACGUUGAGGCCCGAAAGCGUGGGGAGCAAACAGGAUUAGAUACCCGGGUAGUC
rnacentral:rRNA from 1 species